UACCUACUCAUUCGUUGGUGUAGCAGGUGGAUCCGGGAUAUGCAACUACAUCUGCAUCCUUACGGUUCCACGUGACGCACUGAACUAAUGCAGAGGUGGGGAUUUUUACACCUCCAACACCAAGCAAAUGUGAUGAGCGGCUAAUUCGGAAAAUAAAGUCAACUGUCUCUUCAUAUGAAGACCACUUUUACAACCUUGGAGUACACAUCGGAAUCCCUCAUGCAGUCACCAUUGGAAAUGAUUUCGUUUGGCAAAAUACAUCCGGUUGGACUUGGAGUAAUAUACAUGUACAUCUGGGAAGUACUGAUAGGUCCCUACAAGUCCCCAGUUUUCCCGGAACGAUCUGGGGGUACGACUCCCCCUCACUACGUCACUCAGUCUCACUGUAUGAUUCUGUUGGUCUAUUCUCACUAUCGUCACGUGCCUGCAACGUGAAAAACUUUAGAAAACCACCGAGAAACCAGCGUGUUGACCCAAUGAUUUCCUCGUGAUGUGCGGCCUUUUAAUUUGUGAAAGGCACAAAAACUGAAACGUCAUUUACGCAAAGCUCUUCCGAGUUUUGCUACGUCGUGUGUGGACAGGUAGGGCUUUACACUGCUAGUCAAUAGAGACUCAGUUAUCGAUUUCCCGCUCGAAAAAACAAGGCUGGUUUCCCGGUUUCAGAUAGACUGGUUGGCUAUACCACGUGGACUGACAUUUUAUAGAAACGGUGGUAUCGGGAAAGGUCCCCUCGAGUUGGGGAAUUCCAAUUUUCUUUAUGUUUAACCUCUUGAAGAAUCUUGUGUCAUUGCAUCAUCGUGUAGGUUUUCAUUGUAUAUUUGACACUAAUACGGGGAUUUGAACUAAUCUCCACUUGUCAGGGGUAAUUUUGUCCUGAUUUUCUUUUCAGUCGAGUCAAACAAGUUUACGAUUAAAAGGCCAGUAUGUUGUUUCCGUUUUGGUAGUGUAAUUUUAUUCAGGUGUGCUUUACCGAGGGACGUUUUCCGUUACGUUGUUGCAGCGAAUGCUUUUCAGGUUUUGUCUUUAUAUUACCAAAUCUUUCAAAUUGCCUCAAGUUUGAUUUCUUGCACAGCAUUUUAGAUAAUUCAACCGGUUUAAAAAGUGAGUAUCAUACGUUCACAUUACUAUCUUAACUUUCCAGAGGUGCCAUUAUUAAUUAUUUAAGGUAUUUGAUGCGGUAUGUCA